rnacentral:rRNA from 1 species
CGGCAGGCUUAAUACAUGCAAGUCGAGGGGCAGCAGGACGGUAGCAAUACCGUUGCUGGCGACCGGCAAACGGGUGCGGAACACGUACGCAACUUACCCAUAACUGGGGGAUAGCCCGGGGAAACCCGGAUUAAUACCUCGUAACAUUAUGAAGUGGCAUCACUUUAUAAUUAAAGCUCAGGCGGUUGAAGAUGAGCGUGCGCCUGAUUAGCUAGUUGGCGGGGUAACGGCCCACCAAGGCAACGAUCAGUAACUGGCGUGAGAGCGCGACCAGUCACACGGGCACUGAGACACGGGCCCGACUCCUACGGGAGGCAGCAGUAGGGAAUAUUGGUCAAUGGAGGCAACUCUGAACCAGCCAUGCCGCGUGCAGGAUGAAGGCCCUCUGGGUUGUAAACUGCUUUUAUCAGGGAAGAAACCACCGGAUUCAUCUGGUGUUGACGGUACCUGAGGAAUAAGCACCGGCUAACUCCGUGCCAGCAGCCGCGGUAAUACGGAGGGUGCAAGCGUUAUCCGGAUUCACUGGGUUUAAAGGGUGCGUAGGUGGAAUUAUAAGUCAGUGGUGAAAGCCCCGGGCUCAACUCGGGAAUUGCCAUUGAUACUGUUUUUCUUGAGUACGAUUGAGGUGAGUAGAAUAUGUCAUGUAGUGGUGAAAUACUUAGAUAUGACAUAGAAUACCGAUUGCGAAGGCAGCUCACUAAAUCGUAACUGACGCUGAGGCACGAAAGCGUGGGGAUCAAACAGGAUUAGAUACCCUGGUAGUCCACGCCCUAAACGAUGAUUACUCGACAUUGGCGAUA